rnacentral:lncRNA from 1 species
UUUAGUUUCAACGUAUCUUUUUCUUCUGUUUUCAGUGCGGAGGAAACACAUCUGGAGAACAGGUAUGGUCUUCUUACCUCUGUGUGUGAUUCUGUGUGUGACAGAGGAGACACUGCAGGGCUAAGCAGAACCUGAGACACACAAAAAAAGAUAACUUUGGAAAUUAUUGUUCUGAGGAGAGAGCGCCACCUACUGGUCCACAAGCACCACUUACAGUAGCAGCUUGAGACUGUAGAGGUCUCUCAGCCCAGUGCUGACCAGGCCAGGUCACACUACAGGGUUGGGACUCUGCUGUCCCUCCCACAGGCCUGGACAGCGAUGUGUGGACUCUGGUCUCUGCUGUGUGCAGACACCUGUACUGUCAGAGGCACUGAGCCAGGGAGAGCUGGAGGGUGGUACCCCACUAUAGGUGAAGAUAGCAGGGGAGAGGGACUGUGUGGUACUAACAGAUACUGUACCUGCUUUGUUCUCUUUCUGCUGCAGCUUCCUUCACUUGUUCAGCUAGCAGCAUUGUUGUCCUCGUCCUUUUCAGAGCUUCCAUAGAAAGGCUCAUAGUGGGUUAUCUGACUGUGCUGAUUGUAGCUCUUAUUGCCCUGGUUGUGUCUCUGACACUUCAGAGGAUCUGUUCAGCCCGAGGACGAUGUGGAGAUUUCUGUCAGAAAGCUGCAGUUGUGAUUUUCUCCAUGAUUCUGUUCGUGUUGAGCUUGCUGUAUCUGGCCAGUGUCCUGGACACUCUCAGAGGGGGACCUGGACUCAUGUGUGAAGUCCUGUUUCUCUGGAUUCUGGCUGUUGGGACAGUCUUUACAAAGGAAGACAGAGAUGUAGAUGGUGUUUUAAUGAUUAUCUUCAACUUGGGGUACUUUGGGUUGCCUUUAGUGAAUUCCACUGCACUCGCAACAGAAUUAAUUCUGAAAGCAAGUAAGUGACAAUAAUGAUCUGUCCACUGUUCUCUGUGUAACAUGCGCUGUUAACUUUUCUUCAUCUUUAGGAAAGGUUAUAAAGUAUUUAAGGUGCAAAAAUAUUCUUAGUUAAAAAUGUUGUUCUGUUUAAAUGCCUGUGUGACAACUCCAGCUCAAUAAGGACCACAAACACAGCCCUGCCAACGUGUCACCUUAGAGUUCUGUGUUUCCAGUGCUCUGUGUUCAAUCUCACAGACACUCCAGCCUACUGGGUGAUUCACUGGUGCUCUCUUGGGGGAGUCUGCAUGGUCUUUUGUUUCUCUGUUCUUCUUUAUAUGACUCAGUCAGACCUUUCCACUAACUCUUCCUUAUCUUCGUUAAUCACUAACACUACCAGACACUGGAGUAUUCAACAAGACGUCACAUCACCCAAUC